rnacentral:tRNA from 3 species
UAGAGGUUUUUGUAGUUGAA